rnacentral:rRNA from 1 species
GAUGAACGCUGGCUACAGGCUUAACACAUGCAAGUCGAGGGGAAACGACGGGUUAGCUUUCUUCCCCGUGCGUCUUUUUGCGCCUGGGUGAGUAACGCGUAUCUAACCUGCCUCUGACUUAGGUCUAACCCGUCGAUAGUCGGCCUAAUACCUUAUGGCAUCGUCUUCGGGCAUCCAACGCCGAUUAAAGAUUUCAUCGGUCAGGGAUGGGGUUGCGUCUGAUUAGCUUGUUGUCGGGGUAACGGCCCACCAAGGCUACGAUCAGUAGGGGUUCUGAGAGGAAGGUACCCGACAUGGGAACGGAGACACGGACAAAACGACUACGAGAGGCAGCAGUGAGGAAUAGGAGGCAAUGGGCGGGAACCUGAAACAGCCAAGUAGCGUGCAAGAUGACGGCGCUAUGGGUAGUAAACUGCAUUUAUGCGGGGAUAAAGUGAGGAACGGGUAAUUAAGUGCAGGUACCGCAUGAAGAAGGACCGGCUAAUUACGUG